GGAAGUACAUAGGAAUGAGAGAGGAAUAGACUCUUCUUCUUCCCGCAUCAGAGAGAGCGAGAGAGCCUCGAUUUUCUCUCCUAAAUUUUCUCUCUCCUCGGAUUCAGAUUUCGCAGAAUUCUCCUCAAAAUUCAAAUUCCAAAAUUGGGGUCGCAAGUUGGGCGAAAUUCCCAUGAAGUCCGAUCUUACGAUGGCAGGACCUUCGCGGCCGUUGGAUCAGACCCCGAUUUCUCCCCCUCCGUCCUCCGAGCAUCUUCCCUGCAGAAAUGUGGUUGGCUUGCUAGCACGAAGGGAGAUUUCACCUAGAGCAAAACAUGUGCCCAGAAGGGGGUGGGGAGAAACUUCUAAAAGGAAAGCUAGUUCCUCCUAUGGGCCUAAGGGUGAAGCAACAAGAGAUGCAAAACGUGGCCUUCUCUCAUGGGUUGAAGCAGAGUCACUGCGGCACUUGUCAGCCAAGUAUUGUGAUUUAGUGCCUCCUCCAAGGUCAACCAUUGCAGCAGCAUUCAGCCCCGAUGGAAGAAAACUUGCUUCUACACAUGGUGACCACACUGUAAAGAUAAUUGAUUGCCUAACUGGCAGAUGCGUAAAGGUUUUGAGCGGCCAUAGAAGGACACCUUGGGUGGUUAGGUUUCAUCCUCUGAAUCCAGAAAUAAUUGCUAGUGGAAGUUUGGAUCAUGAAGUUCGCUUAUGGGAUUUAAACACAUCAGAUUGUAUCGUCUCUCGUGAUUUCUAUCGACCUAUUGCAUCUAUUGCUUUUCAUGCCAAAGGGGAACUCCUAGCUGUUGCAUCAGGACACAAGUUGUUUAUAUGGAAAUACAAUGGGGAACCUUCUUCUCCAGACAUGGUAUUGAAAACAUGGCGUUCCCUUCGAGCAGUGCAUUUUCACCCCCAAGCUGCUCCAUUCCUCUUAACUGCUGAGGUCAAUGAUCUUGACUCUUCAGAUUCCUCAAUGUCUCAAGCAACAUCUCCCGGCUACGUGCAUUAUCCAUCUCCUGCUGUUUUUGUGGCAAACGCUGAUUCUAGUGAACGUCUUAGUUUGGCUACUGAACUACCACUUAUGUCCUUGCCUUUUGUCUUCGUGCUGCCAUGUGUAGAUGAUCCAAGAAUAGUAAUGCAGCCUGAAAACGGGCCUGCUGGAUCAAAUAGCAUGCAAGUCACCUCUGCUUCAAUGCAGUUUCAAGCAGAUGCAAAUGCAGCAGAGCAGGAUGCUACCACAAUUUCUCCAAUGGAGACAUUUCCAUCAGAUCCAACUGUUUCCAAUCUCAACACUGAAGGCAAUGCAGAUAAUUCUUUCCUUAAUGGAACGAGAAGUGGUAUUUGUAACCGCACAGGAGAUGCAAUGGAGACUGAUGAGAUGCCGGCUGUAGGGGGAAGCCAGCAUGGAAGCUUGACUAAUUUUGAUUCUGCGAAUAUUAGAGUUGAAAAUACUUCAAAUCAUCCUGGUUUUACUGAAUCUGGGCAACCUUAUAGGACGUUUCCAUAUAGAGAUCCUGCAUUCUGGGAGCUACCUUUUCUCCAAGGGUGGUUAACAGGUCAAAGCCAAGCUAGUUUUCCCUCAAUGCUUCCUCUAAAUCGUGGUGGGCUUGACAAUUUAGCUCAGUCUAUGGGUUCUUCUAGUUUGGUGUCGCAUCUGUCUGCGCAUAAUGUGGCGGAUGUGGUAGCUUCUUUGGCAUUGCCAGGAAGCAGCAGUGUAUCUGGGCUUUCUGGAAGAUCUGAUUUGCAGCAUUAUCCACGGUUCCACUUCUCUGGACCAGAAUCAGGGGAUAGUACUGCCUUAAAUACCCAACCCGAUGAGAAUGAUGCUCAGCCCAUUAUUAGUAGAAUCCAGUCUGAUAUUGAUACAUUAAUGGCUGCAGCAGCAGCUGCAGAAUUACCAUGCACUGUAAAACUAAGAGUAUGGUCGCAUGAUAUAAAAAAUCCUUCUGCUCUGCUGAAUGAUGAAAGAUGUCGUUUAACCGUUCCCCAUGCUGUUCUUUGCAGUGAAAUGGGUGCUCAUUUCUCCCCUUGUGGGAGAUUUUUAGCUGCCUGUGUUGCGUGCAUGCUUCCUCAUACGGAAGCUGACCCUGGACUACAAAGUCUAGUUCCUCAGGAUUCUGGAAUUGCAACAUCCCCGACUCGCCACCCAAUCUCAGCGCACCAAGUUAUGUAUGAGCUUCGCAUAUAUUCACUUGAGGAAGCCACAUUUGGUUCGAUACUUGUGUCUCGGGCUAUUAGAGCAGCACAUUGUUUGACUUCAAUCCAAUUCUCCCCCACGUCUGAGCACAUAUUAUUGGCUUAUGGUCGACGCCAUGGUUCUCUUCUUAAAAGUAUUGUCAUUGAUGGGGAUACAACCUUACCUAUUUACACUGUUCUUGAGGUUUACAGAGUUUCAGACAUGGAACUUGUGAGAGUACUUCCCAGUGCAGAGGAUGAGGUUAAUGUUGCUUGCUUUCAUCCCUUUGCUGGUGGAGGUCUGGUUUAUGGGACCAAGGAAGGGAAGCUUAGGGUACUCCAGUUUGAUGGUACCCAUGAUGAAAAUUUCGUUGGACCAAAAUACUUUACAGAGGAAAAUACAGCUGUUGCAGUAUAGUCAGCAAGAUAUUGAGGGAAAUGGUUCAGAGAUUGCUUGCUGAGCAUAUAUAUUAUAAACUCCAAAAGCCUAGCCUUUUUCCUUCAGGAUCCAUGGCAAUGUAGAUAUUGGGAAAGCAAAUCCAUAAAACAGCUUCUGCAGUUGGAGCCACAUAGUUCUAACCCUAUGCGUGCUUCUCUCAAACCACAGUUCUAAUCAGCAGGGGAAGCUGGCGUCGGGGGUCCUGAAAGAUUGCACAACCAGCUUCAUUGAGGUUGAUGGCGGAGUUUACGCAUUUACGGGUGACAACAAAGUGAGAUUGAAGUUUCGUGCUUGUACAUAAACCCGUGUUUGGUCAAUCAACAGACCGUUCGAAGUCGAUUUUGUAUUCAUGUAACUCUUAUCUAAUUGUGAAGUGCAAUUUUGAUAUGGAGACUGCUUCUCUGUGUCUGUAAUUCCAAACAAAAAAAAUCCAAAAAUCUUGGUCCAGCUUUUGCGUCAA